GACGAACGCUGGCGGCGUGCCUAAUACAUGCAAGUUGAGCGCUGAAGGUUGGUACUUGUACCCACUGGAUGAGCAGCGAACGGGUGAGUAACGCGUGGGGAAUCUGCCUUUGAGCGGGGGACAACAUUUGGAAACGAAUGCUAAUACCGCAUAAAAACUUUAAACACAAGUUUUAAGUUUGAAAGAUGCAAUUGCAUCACUCAAAGAUGAUCCCGCGUUGUAUUAGCUAGUUGGUGAGGUAAAGGCUCACCAAGGCGAUGAUACAUAGCCGACCUGAGAGGGUGAUCGGCCACAGUGGGACUGAGACACGGCCCAAACUCCUACGGGAGGCAGCAGGAGGGAAGCUUCGGCAAUGGACGAAAGUCUGACCGAGCAACGCCGCGUGAGUGAAGAAGGUUGUCGGAUCGUAAAACUCUGUUGGUAGAGAAGAACGUUGGUGAGAGUGGAAAGCUCAUCAAGUGACGGUAACUACCCAGAAAGGGACGGCUAACUACGUG
rnacentral:rRNA from 1 species